GCAGUCUCCCCUGUCUUACAGAGCACUGGGACUCCGAAUGGACUCCAUGGCAGGCUGGGUGUGUGCUUGUUACAGUGAGUUAAGUUGGGCUGCUACCACAAGCUUCUAGUAGGUCCCGGCCAGAGAGGGUCAGACUCCUGAACUGCUUCCUGAGGCAUCCAAGCACUGCCUUCACCUCUACCUACAGGGUGGAAUUUCAAAGGGGGCAGGGAAUUAUUGAAUGCAGUUCUGCUAGCCAAAGUCUCUAACUCCCGCCAACGACCUUGUUCUGCAUGGGUCUGGCAAGAAGGUGGGAGAAGAUACUGAUAGUAUUCACUUGUGAGUAACUGUGAACAAGAUUCCUUGGAAUGCCAUCCUGCCAUGUAUGAGUCCUCUAGGAUGCAGUAGCAGCGACCUCCUUACAGCAAGAACCAGCCGUAGAGUGCAUCUUCUGAACUCGAGUCCUGCGCAGUGAACCUCCUAGAUCUAGAGACAACUACAACAGCAGAGAAGGAGCAGCAGAAACAGGAGCCAAAGCAUGCAGCUCAGCGGUAGGCUUCCCAACCCAUGGCGCAAGUAAAGCCCAGUGCUUUUGUGCAGGAGGCGAGCAUGUAGAGUGGGGGCCUCUGGGCACUUAAGCUAGGGAACGAGGUUUGUUGAGCCAGGGAAGUGGAGCUGAGGGCCUUUAGGCUGAAAGUCAUGGGAGUGAAGCCUGUGGGCACUCAAUUCGGGGGCUGGAUGUGCUAACCCUCAGAAUGUGAGCUGACUGUCUUGGGGUUGAGGCUUACAGCGGAAUGGUAUGCCCCUUUGGACAAUGAUUAGCAGACUUGAAAGAAUAUUGCAACACAUCAAAAUAAAUAACUAUCCUGAGCAUUUCUGACUGGGAUUGCAACUUGUGAACUUCUUUAAUAAACCCGU